UACGGAGGAUCCAAGCGUUAUCCGGAAUCAUUGGGUUUAAAGGGUCCGUAGGCGGUUUAAUAAGUCAGUGGUGAAAGCCCAUCGCUCAACGGUGGAACGGCCAUUGAUACUGUUAAACUUGAAUUAUUAGGAAGUAACUAGAAUAUGUAGUGUAGCGGUGAAAUGCUUAGAGAUUACAUGGAAUACCAAUUGCGAAGGCAGGUUACUACUAAUGGAUUGACGCUGAUGGACGAAAGCGUGGGGUAGCGAAACAGG
rnacentral:rRNA from 1 species